rnacentral:lncRNA from 1 species
GGCUGGGCUUUUCAUUGACCAUGGGUUGGAAUAGUUCUGUGGGCAUAGUGUGUCUUCGAAGCCACUAUGUUUUCUGCACUUGUGACUAGAGAGCACCUUGAUAGCUCAGUUGGUAGCGCGGUGGACUGUUAGAUGCUCCUUGUGUGAAAUGCUGUGAUCCUAAGGUCCCUGGUUCAACUCCAGCUCCAAGCACCUCCUUGUCAUUGGAAAUACCCCCAAGCCUUGUCUUUAUCUGUCAACUCCUCCAAAAUGUCAAAACACAAAGAAGAUAACUCUUUCUUAAAUUUUCAACCAUCAAUUUUUUAUUCACCCAGCCUAAAAGUCCUGAUUAUCAGUUCUGGGUCCCUGGCAAUGACUGUUGGGUACAAACUGCAAAGCUUUGUUCUGCAGGUAGGGCUGGGCUUUUCAUUGACCAUGGGUUGGAAUAGUUCUGUGGGCAUAGUGUGUCUUCGAAGCCACUAUGUUUUCUGCACUUGUGACUAGAGAGCACCUUGAUAGCUCAGUUGGUAGAGCGGUGGACUGUAAGAUGCUCCUUGUUUGAAAAGCUGUGAUCCUAAGGUCGCUGGUUCAACUCCAGCUCCAAGCACCUCCAUGUCAUUGGAAAUACCCCCAAGCCUUGUCUUUAUCUGUCAACUCCUCCAAAAUGUCAAAACACAAACAAGAUAACUCUUUCUUAAAUUUUCAACCAUCAAUUUUUUAUUCACUCAGCCUAAAAGUCCUGAUUAUCAGUUCUGGGUCCCUGGCAAUGACUGUUGGGUACAAACUGCAAAGCUGUGUUCUGCAGGUAGGGCUGGGCUUUUCAUUGACCAUGGGUUGGAAUAGUUCUGUGGGCAUAGUGUGUCUUCGAAGCCACUAUGUUUUCUGCACUUGUGACUAGAGAGCACCUUGAUAGCUCAGUUGGUAGAGCGGUGGACUGUAAGAUGCUCCUUGUGUGAAAAGCUGUGAUCCUAAGGUCGCUGGUUCAACUCCAGCUCCAAGCACCUCCUUGUCAUUGGAAAUACCCCCAACCCUUGUCUUUAUCUGUCAACUCCUCCAAAAUGUCAAAACACAAAGAAUAUAACUCUUUCUUAAAUUUUCAACCAUCAAUUUUUUAUUCACCCAGCCUAAAAGUCCUGAUUAUCAGUUCUGGGUCCCUGGCAAUGACUGUUGGGUACAAACUGCAAAGCUUUGUUCUGCAGGUAGGGCUGGGCUUUUCAUUGACCAUGGGUUGGAAUAGUUCUGUGGGCAUAGUGUGUCUUCGAAGCCACUAUGUUUUCUGCACUUGUGACUAGAGAGCACCUUGAUAGCUCAGUUGGUAGAGCGGUGGACUGUAAGAUGCUCCUUGUGUGAAACGCCGUGAUCCUAAGCUCGCUGGUUCAACUCCAGCUCCAAGCACCUCCUUGUCAUUGGAAAUACCCCCAAGCCUUGUCUUUAUCUGUCAACUCCUCCAAAAUGUCAAAACACAAAGAAGAUAACUCUUUCUUAAAUUUUCAACCAUCAAUUUUUUAUUCACUCAGCCUAAAAGUCCUGAUUAUCAGUUCUGGGUCCCUGGCAAUGACUGUUGGGUACAAACUGCAAAGCUUUGUUCUGCAGGUAGGGCUGGGCUUUUCAUUGACCAUGGGUUGGAAUAGUUCUGUGGGCAUAGUGUGACUUCGAAGCCACUAUGUUUUCUGCACUUGUGACUAGAGAGCACCUUGAUAGCUCAGUUGGUAGAGCGGUGGACUGUAAGAUGCUCCUUGUGUGAAACGCUGUGAUCCUAAGGUCGCUGGUUCAACUCCACCUCCAAGCACCUCCUUGUCAUUGGAAAUACCCCCAAGCCUUGUCUUUAUCUGUCAACUCCUCCAAAAUGUCAAAACACAAAGAAGAUUACUCUUUCUUAAAUUUUCAACCAUCAAUUUUUUAUUCACUCAGCCUAAAAGUCCUGAUUAUCAGUUCUGGGUCCCUGGCAAUGACUGUUGGGUACAAACUGCAAAGCUUUGUUCUGCAGGUAGGGCUGGGCUUUUCAUUGACCAUGGGUUGGAAUAGUUCUGUGGGCAUAGUGUGUCUUCGAAGCCACUAUGUUUUCUGCACUUGUGACUAGAGAGCACCUUGAUAGCUCAGUUGGUAGAGCGGUGGACUGUAAGAUGCUCCUUGUGUGAAACGCUGUGAUCCUAAGGUCGCUGGUUCAACUCCAGCUCCAAGCACCUCCUUGUCAUUGGAAAUACCCCCAAGCCUUGUCUUUAUCUGUCAACUCCUCCAAAAUGUCAAAACACAAAGAAGAUAACUCUUUCUUAAAUUUUCAACCAUCAAUUUUUUAUUCACUCAGCCUAAAAGUCCUGAUUAUCAGUUCUGGGUCCCUGGCAAUGACUGUUGGGUACAAACUGCAAAGCUUUGUUCUGCAGGUAGGGCUGGGCUUUUCAUUGACCAUGGGUUGGAAUAGUUCUGUGGGCAUAGUGUGUCUUCGAAGCCACUAUGUUUUCUGCACUUGUGACUAGAGAGCACCUUGAUAGCUCAGUUGGUAGAGCGGUGGACUGUAAGAUGCUCCUUGUGUGAAACGCUGUGAUCCUAAGGUCGCUGGUUCAACUCCAGCUCCAAGCACCUCCUUGUCAUUGGAAAUACCCCCAAGCCUUGUCUUUAUCUGUCAACUCCUCCAAAAUGUCAAAACACAAACAAGAUAACUCUUUCUUAAAUUUUCAACCAUCAAUUUUUUAUUCACUCAGCCUAAAAGUCCUGAUUAUCAGUUCUGGGUCUCUGGCAAUGACUGUUGGGUACAAACUGCAAAGCUUUGUUCUGCAGGUAGGGCUGGGCUUUUCAUUGACCAUGGGUUGGAAUAGUUCUGUGGGCAUAGUGUGUCUUCGAAGCCACUAUGUUUUCUGCACUUGUGACUAGAGAGCACCUUGAUAGCUCAGUUGGUAGAGCGGUGGACUGUAAGAUGCUCCUUGUGUGAAACGCCGUGAUCCUAAGGUCGCUGGUUCAACUCCAGCUCCAAGCACCUCCUUGUCAUUGGAAAUACCCCCAAGCCUUGUCUUUAUCUGUCAACUCCUCCAAAAUGUCAAAACACAAAGAAGAUAACUCUUUCUUAAAUUUUCAACCAUCAAUUUUUUAUUCACUCAGCCUAAAAGUCCUGAUUAUCAGUUCUGGGUCCCUGGCAAUGACUGUUGGGUACAAACUGCAAAGCUUUGUUCUGCAGGUAGGGCUGGGCUUUUCAUUGACCAUGGGUUGGAAUAGUUCUGUGGGCAUAGUGUGUCUUCAAAGCCACUAUGUUUUCUGCACUUGUGACUAGAGAGCACCUUGAUAGCUCAGUUGGUAGAGCGGUGGACUGUAAGAUGCUCCUUGUGUGAAACGCCGUGAUCCUAAGCUCGCUGGUUCAACUCCAGCUCCAAGCACCUCCUUGUCAUUGGAAAUACCCCCAAGCCUUGUCUUUAUCUGUCAACUCCUCCAAAAUGUCAAAACACAAAGAACAUAACUCUUUCUUAAAUUUUCAACCAUCAAUUUUUUAUUCACCCAGCCUAAAAGUCCUGAUUAUCAGUUCUGGGUCCCGGGCAAUGACUGUUGGGUACAAACUGCAAAGCUUUGUUCUGCAGGUAGGGCUGGGCUUUUCAUUGACCAUGGGUUGGAAUAGUUCUGUGGGCAUAGUGUGUCUUCGAAGCCACUAUGUUUUCUGCACUUGUGACUAGAGAGCACCUUGAUAGCUCAGUUGGUAGAGCGGUGGACUGUAAGAUGCUCCUUGUGUGAAACGCCGUGAUCCUAAGGUCGCUGGUUCAACUCCAGCUCCAAGCACCUCCUUGUCAUUGGAAAUACCCCCAAGCCUUGUCUUUAUCUGUCAACUCCUCCAAAAUGUCAAAACACAAAGAAGAUUACUCUUUCUUAAAUUUUCAACCAUCAAUUUUUUAUUCACCCAGCCUAAAAGUCCUGAUUAUCAGUUCUGGGUCCCUGGCAAUGACUGUUGGGUACAAACUGCAAAGCUUUGUUCUGCAGGUAGGACUGGGCUUUUCAUUGACCAUGGGUUGGAAUAGUUCUGUGGGCAUAGUGUGUCUUCGAAGCCACUAUGUUUUCUGCACUUGUGACUAGAGAGCACCUUGAUAGCUCAGUUGGUAGAGCGGUGGACUGUAAGAUGCUCCUUGUGUGAAACGCUGUGAUCCUAAGGUCGCUGGUUCAACUCCAGCUCCAAGCACCUCCUUGUCAUUGGAAAUACCCCCAAGCCUUGUCUUUAUCUGUCAACUCCUCCAAAAUGUCAAAACACAAACAAGAUAACUCUUUCUUAAAUUUUCAACCAUCAAUUUUUUAUUCACCCAGCCUAAAAGUCCUGAUUAUCAGUUCUGGGUCCCGGGCAAUGACUGUUGGGUACAAACUGCAAAGCUUUGUUCUGCAGGUAGGGCUGGGCUUUUCAUUGACCAUGGGUUGGAAUAGUUCUGUGGGCAUAGUGUGUCUUCGAAGCCACUAUGUUUUCUGCACUUGUGACUAGAGAGCACCUUGAUAGCUCAGUUGGUAGAGCGGUGGACUGUAAGAUGCUCCUUGUGUGAAACGCCGUGAUCCUAAGGUCGCUGGUUCAACUCCAGCUCCAAGCACCUCCUUGUCAUUGGAAAUACCCCCAAGCCUUGUCUUUAACUGUCAACUCCUCCAAAAUGUCAAAACACAAAGAAGAUAACUCUUUCUUAAAUUUUCAACCAUCAAUUUUUUAUUCACCCAGCCUAAAAGUCCUGAUUAUCAGUUCUGGGUCCCUGGCAAUGACUGUUGGGUACAAACUGCAAAGCUUUGUUCUGCAGGUAGGGCUGGGCUUUUCAUUGACCAUGGGUUGGAAUAGUUCUGUGGGCAUAGUGUGUCUUCGAAGCCACUAUGUUUUCUGCACUUGUAACUAGAGCGCACCUUGAUAGCUCAGUUGGUAGAGCGGUGGACUGUAAGAUGCUCCUUGUGUGAAACGCUGUGAUCCUAAGGUCGCUGGUUCAACUCCAGCUCCAAGCACCUCCUUGUCAUUGGAAAUACCCC